rnacentral:tRNA from 1 species
GGGCGAAUAGCUCAGCGGUAGAGCACUCGCUUCACACGCGAGGGGUCGUAGGUUCGAACCCUACUUCGCCCACCA